CCCCGUGAAGAUGCGGGGUUCCUGCGGUCAGACGGAAAGACCCCGUGCACCUUUACUGUAGCUUUGCGCUGGCCCUCGUGUCGGCAUGUGUAGGAUAGGUGGUAGGCGAUGAAACCGCGGCGCCAGCCGAGGGGGAGCCGACCUUGAAAUACCACCCUUGACGUUAUGAGGGUCUAACCGCACGCCCUGAUCGGGCGUCGGGACCGCGCAUGGCAGGCAGUUUGACUGGGGCGGUCGCCUCCCAAAGCGUAACGGAGGCGUGCAACGGUAGGCUCAGACCGGUCGGAAAUCGGUCGUCGAGUGCAAUGGCAUAAGCCUGCCUGACUGCGAGACGGACAUGUCGAGCAGAGACGAAAGUCGGUCAUAGUGAUCCGGUGGUCCCGCGUGGGU
rnacentral:rRNA from 1 species